UCUUGCACUUAGAAGCUCGACGUCAUGAGAGGAGAAGAGUUAACCUGCUGCUCGUCAUCGACGUCACUGCGAUAACGUGGCUCUACCAAGAAGCUUCUGCCACUAUUGCUUCCUUCUUGCAACAUUUAUUGGGGCCAUAGGUUCAAGCUACUCAAAGGUUCCGUAACCUCUGGGUCACUUUGUUGCUCCAUUCUCAUUAGCAGUUGACAUUCACCGUGGGUACUUGGGUUUGCUUGGUCCUCGAGGAGUUUGGUUUCUUUUACAAUCUGGUUAGGCCUCGUUCUUCGAAGUGUAUAGGGAUCUGUCCAGCCCCAUUUGCUUCUGAUCUAGGACCAAAUUCAUGCCUCCCAAGAAAUCAAGAGCGUUAAGGAAGAGGAAAAAGGCUGACUAUACCGAAAGAGAGCUUGGAGAAAUCUUUAGCUCGGAUGGUUUUGUAACAUUGAGAUCCAUCUUUUCUAUGAGUGACUUGUCCAAUUUAAUAGAUAAGUAUGGACUUGUUGGUGAACUCAGGCGUAAAGUCCCUAUUAAUGAUGAGCAAGCAAACUCCCCACCAGAUUGGUAUAUUUCUUGGAGACCCAUGCAUUGCCAAGCAGGGGCCUUCCUUCCACUUCAUCCAUACUUUGUGGAAAUAUGUGACUAUUUUGGAAUAGCCCCAUUCCAACUGACGCCGUACAACUAUAGACUAUUUGUACUGCUACGUAUUCUGUAUAGAGUGUUAGAUUGGCCUCCCCCUGAUGCUUUGGAGGUUCACUACUUGUUCAAUAUCAAGUCCAACUGUGUAUUGGGUUAUGAAGGAUUCUACCACUUGUGUAGCUAUUCUAGUGGGGAAGUCCUUAGAAGUGGUGUUUCCAACCUUGGUUGCUACUUUAGUCAAUACUUUUUUAUCAAUGCCCUCCAGUCCGAGCACAGGUCAUUCUGUGAUAUUGGUCGUUAUAGGCAACCGACUCCAACCUCUGAGAUGCGAGAGCAUAUUUCUCAGUUACGUCGAUUGGAUGGAAAGUAUAGGAAUGCGUCUUUCCUUAUCAAUGAUGAAAAUUUACGAUUGGUUGGUCUACUCGAGCCACACCAGUCAUUGGAUCAUCUAUCUCCACCUCUGGAGUUUGACUACAUUCCCUUUUCUGAAGUUUGAGUCUAUACAUGAGAGGAGACCAGAAGAGGUUUUUGUUGUUCGUGACUAGUAUAAGUUAGUUCACUUUGAGGUUUCAUCUUCUUGAUCUUCCCCAAGCAGUCUUUGUUCUAGGUUGCUCAACUGUUCUAAGUUUGACUUAUCGCAAUUGCCUCUCCCUUCUGAAACUUUUAGUGACGUGGGAGGUCUUGGUAUAUCCCUUAGAAAUGAAGAACUAUCCCUCCCUCAUUGGUUAAAUGAAUACUUUCCAGAGGAAACUUUUACUGAUACUCCUUCUGGAGACGUGAAUGCUCGAGCUUUGUUCGGUGGCCCUAAGGUUGUAGGUGCAAGGGCUAACAAGAGGAGGAAACAAUUAGCGAACAAGAAUAAGGGGACCCUUGCAGAGUCUUCUUCUAUUCGUUCAGGCCAAAGUUGACCUCUAGCUGGGGUGACACCGCCAGCCCCUGCAGCGACUGCUAGUGUGGUUCCCACGACCCGAUCCUUAUCUCGUAUAUUACCUUCUCAUGCUCAAAUGGUGGUACCUAGAUUUGAAGAGGUCAUCUAUAGUGACCAGAUACGGGCAGAAUGGUCUUUCUCCAGAGUUUGCAUCCCCAGCGAGAUCGUUCGCCAUUCUAUCUCCAACACUGUUUAGACAAUGAUCACCUUAACCCAACUAACAAAAUCUAUCGAGCAGUUGAAGAAGGAUAAGGAAGCUACAUGCCUUGCCCUCAUGUUUGAGAUAGACAUUGUUCGUGGUGAGAGGAACAAUUGUAAGACUGAGCUUGAGCGACUCAAAAGUUCUUCUUGUUCCGAGAUCAAUCAACUAAAGGCUGAGAUUUCUUUAGAAGUCUCAUGUUGUUGAGGUUGAGCAACUUAAAGCUGUUGCGGAAGCUGAUCACCUUCAAACCCUUGAAGAAGAAGGAGACAUCUUAAAUAACAUGUUUUUUCAGGUUUGGAAACACAACCGCAGUAUUGAUUGAAACAUUUCUGAGUGGCGGAGAUAAGUCCCUACUAGAGGCUUGCGAAUAGACACUUUCCGACAAAGAAAAAUCUUUUGUUCGUACCUCCUUAGCACAGCUGGGGAAUGGUCAUGUUUCAAGGCCUGAAGAUCUCGCUACCAGCACUUCUACUGACCCUUUAGCUGCCUCGGGAGACCAGACCCUUGAGCAAGAGUCCUGAUAGCUUAGUCUCUAGCACGCCUUAUGUUGGAGUAUUUUAUACUUGUAUACUCUUGACUCUUUGUUUUCUUUUGUAGUCUAUACUUGCAUGCCAACGAACAAACCAUUUUUCCUUUUGUUCUUAGUGCGAACAGACUAGUUGCAUAUAGUGCAUGAUAUAAACAGACUAGUUUUC